UCUUAAGGAUGAACAAAGAAAAUGGUUUCUUGCCAUGGAAUCUACUCCUGGUGAACAGGCUGUGAA
rnacentral:pre_miRNA from 1 species